rnacentral:rRNA from 1 species
GACGAACCGUGCGAACGUUGUUCGGAUUCACUGGGCUUAAAGGGCGCGUAGGCGGGCGUCCGCGUCCGGGGUGAAAUCCUUCGGCCCAACCGAAGGACUGCCUCGGAUACGGGACGCCUCGAGGGAGGUAGGGGCGCGUGGAACUUCCGGUGGAGCGGUGAAAUGCGUAGAUAUCGGGAGGAACACCUGUGGCGAAAGCGGCGCACUGGACCAUAACUGACGCUGAUGCGCGAAAGCUAGGGGAGCAAACAGG